UGCAGCAACGCCGCGUGAGGGACGACGGCCUUCGGGUUGUAAACCUCUUUUAGCAAGGAAGAAGCGAAAGUGACGGUACUUGCAGAAAAAGCGCCGGCUAACUACGUGCCAGCAGCCGCGGUAAUACGUAGGGCGCAAGCGUUAUCCGGAAUUAUUGGGCGUAAAGAGCUCGUAGGCGGUUUGUCGCGUCUGCUGUGAAAACCCGAGGCUCAACCUCGGGCCUGCAGUGGGUACGGGCAGACUAGAGUGCGGUAGGGGAGAUUGGAAUUCCUGGUGUAGCGGUGGAAUGCGCAGAUAUCAGGAGGAACACCGAUGGCGAAGGCAGAUCUCUGGGCCGUAACUGACGCUGAGGAGCGAAAGGGUGGGGAGCAAACAGGCUUAGAUACCCUGGUAGUCCACCCCGUAAACGUUGGGAACUAGUUGUGGGGUCCAUUCCACGGAUUCCGUGACGCAGCUAACGCAUUAAGUUCCCCGCCUGGGGAGUACGGCCGCAAGGCUAAAACUCAAAGGAAUUGACGGGGACCCGCACAAGCGGCGGAGCAUGCGGAUUAAUUCGAUGCAACGCGAAGAACCUUACCAAGGCUUGACAUAUACGAGAACGCUGCAGAAAUGUAGAACUCUUUGGAC
rnacentral:rRNA from 4 species